rnacentral:rRNA from 1 species
AUUGAACGCUGGCGGCAUGCCUUACACAUGCAAGUCGAACGGCAGCACGGGAGCAAUCCUGGUGGCGAGUGGCGAACGGGUGAGUAGUGUAUCGGAACGUGCCCAGUCGUGGGGGAUAACGCAGCGAAAGCUGUGCUGAUACCGCAUACGAUCUAUGGAUGAAAGCGGGGGAUCGCAAGACCUCGCGCGAUUGGAGCGGCCGAUAUCAGAUUAGCUAGUUGGUGGGGUAAGAGCUUACCAAGGCGACGAUCUGUAGCUGGUCUGAGAGGACGACCAGCCACACUGGAACUGAGACACGGUCCAGACUCCUACGGGAGGCAGCAGUGGGGAAUUCUGGACAAUGGGCGCAAGCCUGAUCCAGUAAUGCCGCGUGCAGGAUGAAGGCCUUCGGGUUGUAAACUGCUUUUGUACGGAGCGAAAAGGCUCUCUCUAAUACAGGGGGCUCAUGACGGUACCGUAAGAAUAAGCACCGGCUAACUACGUGCCAGCAGCCGCCGUAA